AUUAGCUUGAGAAAAACGUUCACUCUUGCUUAUGUAAAGCUUGGGUAAGGUUGAAAAUAAAUAAUUGGAGCUCAAAAUUGUGAAUACUGGAACUUGGAGGAAGCGAAUUAGUUGAGAUUUUGAGGGCUGUGUUCUUUUAGGAAAAUUGUCUUGGAAUAAUACUUGGGAAUCGGCUAAGAUGCAGGUCGAGAGGCAUCUCAUUA